rnacentral:rRNA from 1 species
CGGUACCCCACCGCGCGAAGGUAGCAUAAUCACUUGUUCUUUAAAUAGGGACUCGUAUCAACGGCAUCACGAGGGCUAAACUGUCUCCUCUUUCUAAUCAAUGAACCUGACCUCUUCGUGAAGAGGCGAAGAUACUUAUAUAAGACGAGAAGACCCCAUGGAGCUUAAAACCUAAAUAACACUUUCUUACAUAAUAAACCAUAAUAAAUAAGAGUCCUGUUAGACGUUUUUGGCUGGGGCAUCCAAGGAGUAUAAUGAAACCUCCCUGACGAAUUUACCUUCGAACUACAAUUCUAAGGUAUAGAAAACUAAAGUAAUAUGACCCGACAAUCGAUCAACGAACCAAGUUACCCUGGGGAUAACAGCGCAAUCCAUUUUGAGAGCCCCUAUCGACAAAUGGGUUUACGACCUCGAUGUUGGAUCAGGGCAUCCCAGUGGUGCAGCCGCUACUAAAGGUUCGUUUGUUCAACGAUUAAAGCCCUACGUGAUCUGAGU